rnacentral:rRNA from 1 species
UACGGGGGGAGCAAGCGUUGUUCGGAUUUACUGGGCGUAAAGGGCGGGUAGGCGGCCACCGCAAGUCAGUUGUGAAAUCUCUGGGCUUAACCUAGAAAGGUCAACUGAUACUGCGGGGCUAGAGUGCAGAAGGGGCAACUGGAAUUCUCGGUGUAGCGGUGAAAUGCGUAGAUAUCGAGAGGAACACCUGCGGCGAAGGCGGGUUGCUGGGCUGACACUGACGCUGAACUGCGAAAGCUAGGGGAGCGAACGGG